AUAUAUACACACACAUGGAUAGGGUUGGGUACUGAAACCCCGUUCCUACGCAACCGGUAGAAAAUCGGACCGGCUUAGAACACAAAUUUCGGUUCCUCAUAUCGGUUCCACUUAAUGGGUCAACUGAAAUAUUUUCCCCUUGUCGUUUUGACAC